rnacentral:rRNA from 1 species
AUUGAACGCUGGCGGCAGGCCUAACACAUGCAAGUCGAGCGGGAACUUCGGUUCUAGCGGCGGACGGGUGAGUAAUGCGUAGGAAGCUACCCGACAGAGGGGGAUACCAGUUGGAAACGACUGUUAAUACCGCAUAAUGUCUACGGACCAAAGUGUGGGACCUUCGGGCCACAUGCUGUCGGAUGCGCCUACGUGGGAUUAGCUAGUUGGUGAGGUAAUGGCUCACCAAGGCGACGAUCCCUAGCUGGUUUGAGAGGAUGAUCAGCCACACUGGAACUGAGACACGGUCCAGACUCCUACGGGAGGCAGCAGUGGGGAAUAUUGGACAAUGGGCGCAAGCCUGAUCCAGCCAUGCUGCGUGUGUGAAGAAGGCCUUCGGGUUGUAAAGCACUUUCAGUAGGGAGGAAGAGUUGAGUGUUAAUAGUACUCAGCUUUGACGUUACCUACAGAAGAAGCACCGGCUAACUCUGUGCCAGCAGCCGCGGUAACAC